GGGCACCGAGCUGGCCGAGGCGGGGGUUACCUCAGCGAGAGGGGGGCACCGAGCUGGCCGAGGCCGGGGUUACCUCAGCGAGCGAGGCGGGGCGGAGGGAGUGGGCCCGGCGCCUCUGAGACCCCGGGGAGGGGAAGGGCUCGCCCCGGGGCUGCCUGCGGAGCGGGGCUGGCGGCCGGGAGAUGUCAGGGGCGGAGAGGAGAGCGGCGCGGCGCAGGCCAAGGUCGUUUCCUGCGGAAGGAAGAAGACCGGAGCUGGGGCCUGCUCCAGGGGAAGCCGGGGCAGCCCCGCUGGCACCGGGCGGGGAAGGGCUGGCCGGGCGCCGGGUGGGAGGUAAAAAGCCUGGGGGGGGGCUGACUGCAGCCAGCUCGGCUGUGAAAGCCUCGGCUUCCCUCAGCCCCAAAGGACCCCGGGGUUUGGAACUGGGAAGUUGGGGUUUGCUUGUGUUUGACAGGUGUCACGGCUCAAGGUCUGAAUAUUUCCACCUCCCUCCCCCACCUUUUCCUCUUUUUUUUUUUUUUUUUUUUUUUGUUCUGACAGAUUUUUAGAGAACAAAGCACAUCUCAGGUUCCGGCAUGAUGUCAAAAUUUGACCAGAUGAAUGAAAAAAUAAAAGCAUUGACAGCUGCGUUGCAAAGCGCAAUUCCUCUUGUGCUGCUAGGAGGAAUUGACAGAUAGGAGCGGUAUCAGUGGUGUAAAAAAGCAACACUGUUUUCACAAAGGAUUAAUAUUGGAGGAAUUUAUUUUUGGGUAGAGUGAGGAAGUAAUGCCCAGUAGGAGUUUCCAACAAAUACUGGAGCCUUACCAAAAAUUUAAUCCCAGUGAAGGAAAUUAGAUACUUAAAUUGUGUUUCAACUCUUCAUCUCUACGUACAAACUCUUAAACUAAGACCUGGUUUUUGCAGUAAAAGCAUAAAAUAGCUGAUA